UACGAAGGGGGCUAGCGUUGCUCGGAAUCACUGGGCGUAAAGGGUGCGUAGGCGGCUUUUUAAGUCUGACGUGAAAGCCCAGGGCUUAGCCUUGGAAGUGCGCCAGAAACUGGAAGGCUAGAGUGCCGGAGGGGAGAGUGGAAUUCCUGGUGUAGCGGUGAAAUGCGUAGAUAUGUGGAGGAACACCGAUGGCGAAGGCAGCCCCCUGGGUUAACACUGACGCUCAUGCACGAAAGCGUGGGGAGCAAACAGG
rnacentral:rRNA from 1 species